rnacentral:lncRNA from 1 species
AUGGAGCAGCUGGGAAUAUUUUUCCUUGGAUUUCCCAUCCUGUUCCUGCUCCCUGAACAAGGAGCUGCCCUUCCCAAUGCUCUCCUCCAUUCCCAGGUUUAUGAACAGGGAAAGGAUGGGUGCAAAUCCAGCUGUUGGAAUGUGGUGGAAUUCUCCAUGGAAUCUGAGAUGGAUUUUCCAAUAAUUAUUUGUGGAUGGACCCCUAAAUGCUGGACAGGCAGGGAACAGAACCCAAAACUUGCCCCGAAUCCAAAAUCCCAGCUUGGAAUUGAUUUCACUUCCCUCCUUAUUUUAGGGAGGAAUUUUUUUUUUCUGCUGGCUCCGCCGUCUCCACCAGGUUUUUCCUUCCCUUUUCCACUGGGUAAUAUUGGAUUAACCCACUUUCCCCGGAGCUGGAUUUGCAUAAUCCCCCCUGCGAGCAGGGAUGUGGGAGCGGCUGCUGCUCCGGAGCAAACGAUGCUUGGAGAAACCUCCGAGGCAAAGGGAAGGGCAGAAAUAUCCCAGCUUGGAUUUUCAUCCCCACAAAUCCCCCAUUUCUUCCAGGGGUUUUUACCACUCCUUCCUUCUUGCUCCUUUCCCAGGAAGUUUCCCAGUUUUGGCAAGUUUUUGUGGAGCAUCGCAGGAUUUGCCCAAUUCCUUCCUGAUUUUAAGGGGUUUUCUCCCCGUUUUUCUCCCUGUCUUGCCUCACUCCCGGACUUUUGCAGCUUCCCAAAGCUCCAGUGGCAGCUCCAGGGUGUUGGAGGUGAUGGAUGGAUCUGGGAGAGCUGGGGAGGAGCCUCUGGAGCUGUGGGUUCCGUUUAUUCCGCCCGUAAAUCACGGGAAUGUGGCUCUGGAGCGCUGGAUUGGGGUCACGCCCGGCUCCUCGUUCCCGUGAUUUAUUGGACAGGGAGCAGAGGGAGCUCCUGGAGUCUGAGGGAUCCGAGCUGCUCCAGGGGCGGGAAGGGGCAGGGAAAAGGGGGAGAGAGGAGGAAAAGUCAAUGGCAGCGCUUUGGUGGGGAGUGGAGUUGGGGAUAA